rnacentral:rRNA from 1 species
UACAGAGGGGGCAAGCGUUAUUCGGAAUUAUUGGGCGUAAAGGGCGCGUAGGCGGCUAUUCAAGUGGCGGGUGAAAUCCCUCGGCUUAACCGAGGAACUGCCUGCCAGACUGGAUGGCUUGAGACCGGGAGAGGUGAGUGGAAUUCCCAGUGUAGCGGUGAAAUGCGUAGAUAUUGGGAGGAACACCCGUGGCGAAGGCGGUUCUCUGGGACGGUACUGACGCUGAGACGCGAAAGCGUGGGGAGCGAACAGG